ensembl:lncRNA
GCAAAAGGAUGAGAAGCAAAUAGGAGGAAAGACUUCAAGGCCUGGUGUCUUAGGUUUGUUCCCCCCACGAGGAGAUAAGGAUUCAGAUGCAAGGGGUUCAUUUUCGAGGGGGAUCUCGGAAGCACCAGGAAGGGUCGAGGAAGUGAGAAUGGGCAGGAAAGGGAAAAAAAAAAAUUCCGGUGUGCCCAGAGCAGGCUAUGUCAGUGGGCACUGGUGCUCCAUCUUACUGGACUUCUGCCAGGGCAUGUAGAUGCGCCUCAUGCCUGAUGGAUGCAAAGCUGAAGCAUCUGGCACUAAUGAUCAUUCACGAUUGGUUGCAGGCUACUUCUGUAGGGGGUCACUCCCUGGUCCUUCUAGCCUGCCCUGUGCACAGGUUGAGGACAGUCCUGUGGCUGGAGAAAGCUGGAUCUGAAGGUUGUAGAAACUUGCGGAAAGAAGCCAUCAAAGUGACUUGGAAAGGUUGAAUAAGUAGAUAUGCGUUGCCACUGAAAUGCUAGAAAUUAAUGAAGACGAUAAAAAAUUCGUAAGCCAAAAACCAAUGGCAAGCAACUCGGGUACAUACUUGUAAGUUUUCCCAAACUUGAGAAGAUAAUCAAAGUCAUGGCUGAGAAGAAGGAAAAGAGAGGGAAGCAGAGGCUGUGGGGCAGGGAAAGGUCCGGUUGACCUACAGAAGUUGGGUUACCCUCCCUGCCUCCACUGAGGAUCACCAAGAAGAAAGUAGAAAGACAAUAAAAGACUUGUGAAGAUUUUAGCAGUAUCCCUGCCUUUGGAGUGUAAUCUCACCUCUCUUCUGUUUUUCUUCAUUCUGGAAUGAGUGUUUUCUCUAUAGCUAUAUUCUUUCUCUUUCUCUCUCUCUCAAAGAGAUUUUGGAUGCCUCUGCACUGAUAUUACAUGCCAAAGAAAGGGAUUGCACAAGAACAAGAGCUCCUACAUGGAUCCUCUACAGUCUUUUGUGCUCCUACAGGCCCCCGUGAUUUGGUCUCCUAGAUUUUGUUCACACCCACCCUCAGGUCUUCUACCUGGCUACCUCUCUUUAAAUCUCAUCAUGGAUAGAAUGCCGUUUCCUAAGUUCGCCCUGACAUUGCUGUAUUAAUGAGGACUCUAACAUUGUACCUGAUAAAAACGCAAAUUACUCUAAGCCAAGCUUGUCCAAUCCACAGCCUGCAGACCACAUGUAGCCCAGGACAGCUUUGAAUGAAGUCCAACACAAAUUUGUGAACUGUCUUAAAACUUUAUGAGUUGUUUUGCAAUUUUUUUUAGCUCAUCAGCUCUCAUUAGUGUUAGUGUAUUUUGUGUGUGGCCCAAGAUCAUCCUUCUUCCAAUGUGACCCAGGGAAGCCAAAAGAUUGGACACCGCUGGUCUAAGCCAAAAGAAAUUGAUUGGCUCACAUAAUUGAAAACUGUGUGAGUUAGUUCGGUUUCAGUCACAGAUAGAUUUGGGACUUAAAUAAACCAUAUUAUCAUGUUCCCUCUCUGCCUCCUUCCUCAUUUCUUGGGUCUGCUUUCAUCUGCGUUGGCUUCAUUCUCUUCCAAAUGAUCUCCAUGUGAUAGGGUUCCUCCAGGCUUAUAAGAUUCUUAGAUUUUAUGCUCUCAAAUUGGAAACCUUUCAGACUUCCAGAAUCCAUACAAGUCUCUGCAAAAGGAUUCUGCUUGGC